GAGGGUAGGGAUGGCAGCCCAGCCCCACUUUCUUAACCCUCAUUGCGUGUCCUGAAUGACUUCAUUAGUGACGUGGAGCAGUGUUGAUUGGAGCAACUUGUCUACUAAACAGAAAAUACUUUGCUGCUCUGGACAGAAAUACCUGCCUUACAGCUUCAGUUUGCCCCCAAAGUGUUGCAGGCAUACAAGAUGCAUCAAGAAGCAGCCAAGGGCUUCCCUGGUGGCACAGUGGUUAAGAAUCCGCCUGCCAGUGCAGAGGACACGGGUUCGAGCCCUGGUCCAGGAAGAUCCCACAUGCCACAGAGCAACUAAUCCUGUGCGUCACAACUACUGAGCCUGCGCUCUAGACCUCUCGAGCCUCAACUACUGAGCCCAUGUGCCACAACUGCUGAAGCCUACGCACCUAGAGCCCGUGCUCCGCAACAAGAGAAGCCACCUUAAUGAGAGGCCUGCGCACC